UACUCUAUUGCAACGUCGGAUCCUUAGUAACUCGAACUUGAACCAAGUCAGCUUGAAAUUGAGUUUCCAUUAACUACCAUAUGGACAAUACUAGGGGGGGUCUUUCUUAUAGAUUUCCAGGUAGCAGCAGGAGUUCAAGCAAAAGCCGAUGAUUUAGUUGGUAAGCAGUCCGACACAUCGGUACGACCAGAGCUGACAUACAGUUCUUUUACCUACCUCAACUCAUAAUACUAGCAGGAGUCUUGUAUAAAGAUUUCCAAGUAACAGCAGAAGUCCAAGCAAGAGUCGGUGCUUUAGUCUGAGCUGACAUCAAAUCCUUAUACCUACUUCAACUAAACUCUAACUCUACCUUUCUCGAUAUGACAUAUGCCAUAAGCCAUAAGCCAUAUGCAUAAGCCAUACAUAUGCCUAAUAGCAUGUCCAUCAUUUGUCAUUUGUCUUCCCCCAUUCGUUCAACUUUUAUCAUACAAAAUUCAAAAUAAAAGUCGAGUCUACGGACAUCGAUGGAGAAAUGUGUGCGGCUAAUCAUAGUUGGCCCUGGGCAGAGUCCCUUUGACAGUUGACAGCGAGAGCAGGGGAGCAGGAGCACCAUGAAUAUUCAUUACACAUUGAACACUACAGCAAGUUGGAGCUGCAAUAUUUGAAAAUAUUUCGCCAAAAAAAAAAAUAAAAUUAAAUUUAAACAAAAAAUUUCACAUUUUCUAUCGAGUCCACAGCCGCAAGAUAAAUUAAUCGGAAUGAUUCGCUUGCCCUGCCCGGAUAAUGAGGAUGAGACGAAGCGUCGCAUUGCCGAUGUGCGCAACACAUUCAUUCUGUUCGGAGUCAUGGUUUUCAUCAUACGUUUGAUGCCGCCCGUGCUGCGUUUCAUAAAUAUUCAGUAGCUGCCGUUCGGCUCCUGCCCAGCUUUAAGAAUACCCAAUCAAAAUUUCCGUGAAUGAAGCCAGAAGAAGAAGAACAAGAAGAACCGGCGACGCAAGUGCUGCUAAUUCCGCUGGCCACUUUAGCCGCGUUAAUUAAUAACAGAUAAAUGAACAUAUGUAUAUAUACGUAUAUGUAUGUGUGAAUAUGUAUAUACCGCUCCUUGGUCGAGGCUCUGACGUCACAGCCGCAGACGCAGCCACCGUUAUUAAGCAAACUUUUUUAUGGAGCCUCUCGCCUGCCCCCGUCGAAUGAGCGAAAACGUUUAUGAACCGAGCCUCAGCCUCAAAGGCCAUGAAAAUGUCAUUAGCUGCCAAUUGUUCCACGGCGAGGGCAGCUCCAGAAAUUACCCGUUCCUCUGCUCGACUAUUCAACUCACAGAUGCAAUGUAAAUUCGCGAUUUCAGAUUAGAAUUAUCGUUUGGCAACCGCUGGACUUGCCCGUGACUUGAUGCAGA